AGAGAGAGUCAAAGAGCAGCUGUAUCGGGGGUCACCGUUGCCGGCCUCCUUCGUCGUCUUCAACGUCGGUGGUUUGUGCGUGUGACAACCGAGAGGGAGAGAGGAGAGCUUCAAUCAUCCAGACCUUCAUUUUUGUUCUCCUCCCCUUCGUCGCUGACGAGAGCAAGUGGUCUUGCUGUGGGUGUUGGUGUUGCUAGAUUUUGGGCUCUUCAUUCGUACGUCGUCUGUGUGUGUGAAACGGAAGACCUUUUGCUGGCAAAGAUUCAUUAGUUGAUGCUGAUUCUACUGCCGACCUCUGAAGGGCAUAUGGCUAUAUUGGAUGGAAAUUUUAUUUGGUAUUGUUACCUCUUGAUGUAAAUAUUUAAGAUUCAUGUAUUUUAGUUUAGAAAUAAGAUUAGUUGCUCCACAU